rnacentral:rRNA from 1 species
UACGUAGGGUGCGAGCGUUAAUCGGAAUUACUGGGCGUAAAGCGUGCGCAGGCGGUUUCUUAAGCCAGAUGUGAAAGCCCCGGGCUUAACCUGGGAAUUGCGUUUGGAACUGGGAGACUAGAGUGUGGCAGAGGGAGGUAGAAUUCCACGUGUAGCAGUGAAAUGCGUAGAGAUGUGGAGGAAUACCGAUGGCGAAGGCAGCCUCCUGGGCCAACACUGACGCUCAUGCACGAAAGCGUGGGGAGCAAACAGG